rnacentral:rRNA from 1 species
AGGACGAACGCUGGCGGCGUGCUUAACACAUGCAAGUCGAGCGGAAAGGCCCUUCGGGGUACUCGAGCGGCGAACGGGUGAGUAACACGUGAGCAAUCUGCCCCUAGCUUCGGGAUAGCUCCGGGAAACCGGAAUUAAUACCGAAUACGACUACGGCCGACAUCGGCUGUGGUGGAAAGUUUUUCGGCUAGGGAUGAGCUCGCGGCCUAGUCAGCUUGUUGGUGAGGUAACGGCUCACCAAGGCGACGACGGGUA